UAGGGAAUAUUGCGCAAUGGGGGAAACCCUGACGCAGCGACGCCGCGUGAGUGAUGAAGGCCUUCGGGUCGUAAAGCUCUGUCGCAUGGGAAUAAGCUCUGAAGGUACCAUGCAAGAAAGGAUCGGCUAACUUCGUGCCAGCAGCCGCGGUAAGACGAGGGAUCCUAGCGUUGUUCGGAAUCAUUGGGCGUAAAGCGGGUGUAGGUGGUUUAAUAAGUCAGAUGUGAAAGCCCUGGGCUUAACCUAGGAAGUGCAUUUGAUACUGUUGAACUUGAGUGUGGGAGAGGGUAGUGGAACUCCUGGUGUAGUGGUGAAAUACGUAGAUAUCAGGAAGAACACCGGUGGCGAAGGCGGCUACCUGGCCCAACACUGACACUCAGACCCGAAAGCAUGGGGAUCAAACAGG
rnacentral:rRNA from 1 species